rnacentral:rRNA from 1 species
GUCAAAGAAAUGAAGGCUUACGGUGGAGACCUAGGCACUCAGAGACGAUGAAGGGCGCAGAUACCGGCGAUACGCUUCGGGGAGUUGGUAACAAACAUAGAUCCGAAGAUUCCCGAAUAGGGCAACCUCUUUUUUGAACUCCUUUUUGAAUUCAUAGAAAAGGAAGAGGAAACCCGGUGAACUGAAACAUCUCAGUAGCCGGAGGAAAAGAAAGCAAAAGCGAUUCCCUGAGUAGCGGCGAGCGAAACGGGAACAGCCUAAACCACGGUGCUUCGCGCAAGUGGGGUCGUGGGAAUCCUUAGUGUGUAGUUCGAAAUGUUCGAUGUGCACAAGAAGACGAUUUUGUAGAAAAAAUCGAAAGAAAGAGACGAAGCAGCUGAAUCCUGCACCAUAGAUGGUGAAAGUCCAGUAGUCAAAAUUCUCUGCGGAGCGUAAUUUUGGAAAAUCCCGAGUAGCAUGGGACACGUGGAAUCCCGUGUGAAUCUGCGAGGACCACCUCGUAAGGCUAAAUACUCCUGAGUGACCGAUAGUGAAGAAGUACAGCGAUGGAAAGGUGAAAUAGAACCCCCGUAGGGGAGUGAAAAAGAACAUGAAACCGUAAGCUGACAAGCAGUGGGAGGGAAAACUGACCGCGUGCCUGUUGAAGAAUGAGCCGGCGACUUAUAGGAAGUGGCAGGGUUAAGGAGUUGUAUCCGGAGCCCAAGCGAAAGCGAGUCUGAAUAGGGCGAGUGAGUCACUUCUUAUGGACCCGAACCUGGAUGAUCUAAUCAUGGCCAAGCUGAAGCUUGGGUAACACCAAGUGGAGGGCUGAACCGACCGAUGUUGAAAAAUCGGCGGAUGAGCUGUGAUUAGCGGUGAAAUUCCAAUCGAAUUCAGAGCUAGCUGGAUCUCCCCGAAAUGCGUUGAGGCGCAGCGGCGACGAUGUCCUGUCUAAGGGUAGAGCGACUGUUUCGGUGCGGGCUGCGAAAGCGGUACCAAGUCGUGGCAAACUCCGAAUAUUAGGCAUAGGAUUCCGUGAGCCAGUGAGACUGUGGGGGAUAAGCUUCAUAGUCAAGAGGGAAACAGCCCAGACCAUCAGCUAAGGCCCCCAAAUGAUUGCUAAGUGGAAAAGGAUGUGAGGAUGCUGAAACAACCAGGAGGUUCGCUUAGAAGCAGCUAUACCUUGAAAGAGUGCGUAAUAGCUCACUGGUAAAGCGUUCUUGCGCCGACAAUGGCCGGGACUAAGCAAUCUGCCGAAGCUAUGGGAUUUGUUUUUUUUCAUGGAUCCAGCAAUUUCUUUGCUGGUAGAAAGAACGAAUCGGUAGGGGAGCGUUCGGCACCGGGUGAAGCCCUCACGUAAGUUCGGGUGGACGGUGCCGAAGUGAGAAUGUCGGCUUGAGUAACGAAAACAUUGGUGAGAAUCCAAUGCCCCGAAAACCUAAGGGUUCCUCUACAAGGUUCGUCCAUGGGGGGUGAGUCAGGACCUAAGGCGAGGCCGAGCGGCGUAGUCGAUGGCAAACAGGUUAAUAUUCCUGUACUAGUUUUUGUGGGAACCGAGGGACGAAGAAAGCUAAGUUGGGUCUGUUUUUGGAUUGCAGUGGAAACGUUCAAGGCUGCGAAAGAUCGAAGAAAAACGAAUCUUGAGCUGAGACGUGAUCCCGCUUUCUAGACUUGUUCUGGAUAAGCGCCAAUGAUGUUCUACUUCCAAGAAAAGCUCGUACACCUCUAAAUAUUUAGAAAAACACAAAAAUUACCUGUACCUGAAACCGACACAGGUAGGUUGGUAGAGAAUACCAAGGGGCGCGAGAGAACUCUCUCUAAGGAACUCGGCAAACUAGCCCCGUAACUUCGGGAGAAGGGGCGCCCUAUUCAACGAGGGUCGCAGUGUCGUGGAUCUGGCAACUGUUUAUCAAAAACACAGGUCUCCGCAAAGUCGUAAGACAAUAUAUGGGGGCUGACGCCUGCCCAGUGCCGGAAGGUCAAGGAAGUUGGUUAGGAAUCCUCGGAAUCCGAAGCUGACGACCGAAGCCCCGGUGAACGGCGGCUGUAACUAUGACAGUUACUUUUAGGGCUCCUAAGGUAGCGAAAUUCAUUGUCGAGUAAGUUUCGACCUGCACGAAAGGCGUAAUGAUCAGAUCGCUGUCUCGGAGAGAGGCUCGGUGAAAUAGACUUGUCCGUGAAGAUGCGGACUACUAAUACUUGGACAGAAAGACCCUAUGAAGCUUGACUGUAUCCUGGAAUUGGGUUCGGGCUUUUCUUGCGCAGUCUAGGUGGGAGGCUAAGAAGAUUUCCUUCCGGGGAAGUUGGAGCCAUCAGUGAGAGACCACUCUGGAGAGGCUAGAAUCCUAAUGGUGAUCCUUGAAUCAGGACACUUGACAGUUUCAGGUGGGCAGUUUUUCUGGGGCGGAAGCCUCAUAAAGGGUAACUGAGGCGCGCAAAGGUUCCCUCAGUCUGGACGGAAAUCAGACUCAGAGUGUAAAGGCAAAAGGGAGCUUGACUGCAAGACCAACAAGUCGAGCAGGAGCGAAAGCUGGCCUUAGUGAUCCGACGGUGCCGCGUGGAAGGGCCGUCGCUCAACGAAUAAAAGUUACUCUAGGGAUAACAGGCUGAUCUUCUCCAAGAGUUCACAUCGACGAGAAGGUUUGGCACCUCGAUGUCGGCUCAUCACAUCCUGGGGCUGUAGUAGGUCCCAAGGGUUGGGCUGUUCGCCCAUUAAAGUGGUACGUGAGCUGGGUUCAGAACGUAAACUUUACUGCGUUUAUCGAUAGUAAUAUUCGAUAUAGUAUUGACAAAAUUCGGUGAAACUCUUUUCUAAGAAAAGUUCUUAGAAUUGGAAAUACCGAAGGAAACUUGUUAGUUCUAUCUAACUUCAACGUAAGACAGUUCGGUCCAUAUCCGGUAUUAGCGUUAGAAUAUUGAGGUCAAUCACUCAUAGUACGAGAGGACCUGUAGUGAACAUGCCAAUGGUGUACCUGUUAUUUUUCCAAAAGUAAACGCAGGGUAGCUACGCAUGGAGUGAAUAAGUACUGAAUGCAUCUAAGUACGAAGUCCAGACCAAGAUGAGUAUUCUCCAUAAGGCCGCAGCAAGAUAAGCUGUUGUAUAGGUAUCAAGUGUAAGGCCAGUAAUGGUUUCAGCUGAGAUAUACUAAAGGCUAAUCGAUUUUGAC